UACGUAGGGUGCAAGCGUUAAUCGGAAUUACUGGGCGUAAAGGGCGCGUAGGCGGCAUGGCAAGUCAGGAGUGAAAGGCCUGGGCUCAACCGAGGAACUGCUUUUGAUACUGCCAAGCUAGAGUGCGGAAGGGGCAACUGGAAUUCCCAGUGUAGCGGUGAAAUGCGUAGAUAUUGGGAAGAACACCUGAGGCGAAGGCGGGUUGCUGGGCCGACACUGACGCUGAGGAGCGAAAGCGUGGGGAGCGAACAGG
rnacentral:rRNA from 1 species